UUGGAGUUCAUGGCACUUUGUAGUCAAGAUGUGUUUCACGAGUGUCAUCAUUAUUUUGGGAAACUAAAGAAAUAAAACAGAGCCUAGAGGCAAAUUUCUUAUCUUCACCUCGGUAGAUCAGAAGAAUGUUCUGCGGAGCUGACUGUCCUUCCCUGGCCCAUCUCCACACAAAGGCAAAGAGCUGCUGAAGCUGAUCUUUCCUGGCUGGCAACAGGGGCAUUUUCGGAGUGAUGUCAUUUGGAUCCAGGCAGGAGUGAAGCCCUGUCCUUCAGUUUCUGGAGCAAACAGAGUGCCCGGGAACAUCCCACUGGAAAGAUAUGUGCUGACCCAAGUUGCUUAGACAUCUUGGUAUCUUAUAACCGUAACACAGAGGAGUCUUGGCAAAUAUGGCAAUAUCACAGAUUAAGAAAAUGGGCUAGAUUCAGGAGGAAGGCAUUAUAUUCUGAAUAAUUCUCUUGGAAUGUUUUUUCUACUUCAAAUUGUGAUGCUUUCACUGCCAAUUUUUUAUGUCAUGUAGACAGGUUGGGUUUUUCCUGGACAUCUGCAGCCAGCCCCUGAGGAUGGGACACUGUGUGUGCUCUGUGGAUAUUCUGAAGAUGUGAACUACGUGACUGUAUUAGCACCAUGCAUGAACUCACAGGCACAGCCACAAAAAGGAGGAUGAAUACAGCUGGUUGGUUUUGGUCAGCUCAUAGCUUAGGGAGAACAUUCUUGUAUCUUGCAGAAACAUUAGCAUUCUCUCCAGUGAAGUAUUUCCAUUUCAAGCUCUUCAGGGGUGUCAGUGCUCUGAGUAAAAUUGAUAGUGUUUGAAAAGAAAAAUACCAGCAGGAAAUACAGAUAAACAGAUUGUACACCUAAAUGUUUUGCUCGGUCCUUAAUUUCCUAUUAAAGAAAUAUCCCA